UCCAGCCCCCGCCGUCGCGCCCUGCUCCCGCCCCCGCGCGGCGCUGAGCUCUGUCGGCGCCUGGCGUACUUCGAGUCCCCGCCAGGCCUCCGGGCCGGCUUCCGCGGUCGCCAUGACGGCGGCCGUGUUCUUCGGCUGCGCCUUCAUUGCCUUCGGGCCUGCGCUGGCCCUCUACAUCUUCACCAUCGCCACUGAGCCGUUGCGCGUCAUCUUCCUCAUCAUCGGAGCUUUUUUCUGGUUGGUAUCUCUGCUGUUUUCGUCCCUUUUUUGGUUCAUGGCAAGAACCAUUACUGACAACAAAGAUGGACCAAUACAGAAAUAUCUGCUGAUCUUGGGAGUGUUAGUCUCCGUCCUUGUCCAAGAAAUGUUUCGAUUUGCAUAUUAUAAACUUUUGAAAAAAGCCAAUGAGGGUUUGAGGAGUAUAAACCCAGAUGAGACAGCACCCUCUAUGCGAUUGCUGGCCUAUGUUUCUGGCUUGGGUUUUGGAAUCAUGAGUGGAGUAUUUUCCUUUGUAAAUACCCUUUCUGACUCCUUGGGACCAGGCACAGUGGGCAUUCAUGGAGACUCUCCUCAGUUCUUCCUAAAUUCAGCUUUCAUGACGCUGGUUAUCAUAUUGCUGCACGUGUUCUGGGGCAUCAUAUUUUUUGAUGGCUGUGAGAAGAAAAAGUGGUCUGCCCUUCUUGUAGUUCUUCUGACCCAUCUGCUGGUGUCAGCCCUGACCUUCAUAAGUCCUCAUUAUGGAAUAAAUUUGGUGUCAACAUAUAUAAUUGUGGUACUCAUGGGCAUUUGGGCAUUCUUUGUUGCUGGCGGCAGCUGCCGAAGCCUGAAACUGUGCCUCCUCUGCCAAGACAAGGACUUCCUCCUUUUCAAUCAGCGUUCCAGAUAACCUCUGACAACCAGCACCUGCCAAACACAGUAAAUCAUUAUCCUGCGCUAUGCUAAGAACCAUAACAGAGAUGAACGGGUUGUUCCAGCCGCAUUGAAAGAGACUACCUCAGAGCCCUGGACUCAGAAGCAACUCACACCAAGAUGGCAGAGGGAGAGGGAGGCCGGAGGACAUCAAAGCUGUCACUCCAUGGGGCAAACCGGAGUAAAAGUAAGACCGUUGCUCAGCUGAGGGCAAAUCCAAAUUCCUUAGGGACAGUCGGAAGCAUAGAUGAAGCAAUCAUGGGGACCCUUCGAAACCCUCGGGUCAGGAAGAGGUACAGCUACCGGGUGGCAAGCCUUCUGGAGUGAGGCCGCCAGCCUUUUCUCUGAUCACAACAUCGUCUGGACCCACAGCCAGCAUGGCAGAAGCUGCCAGCCAGGCACGAAUGGAAAAACUCAGUGAGUAAAGAGGCGUAGCGAUGAGAUGAUUUCUCCUUGCCCACAUGACUAAAGGGAACUGGGUCAGAAGGACUUUCUCUUCCCAGAGCAGAGGUUCCAAAAGGUGUCAUGAAGAGAGCCUUCUAGUGAUAACUAAACCAAGAGCUCCUGGGGGACAGGGACAUCUCUUGUUCAUCUCUGUGAACUCAUGCUGUGAUUAGGGUCCCAUGCAUAACAGGCAUUUAGUAAACAGCUUCCCAAAGAAUAAAAGACCCCAAAGAACAGAGAGCUUGGGAGAAGGUUGUCAGGAGGAACUUUUCCUUUUCAUUGCACCCUAAAUACUCUUUGUUGGAAGUCACACUGAAUUAGGUAUUUGGGGGCAGAAAGACUAGGGAUAUAAAAGGCAACAGAGUCUGUGUUGGCAAAACCUCCCGAGGAAAGAAAAGCAACUGCACAGGACCAGAAGAGUCCAGAAAACAAGAUUUCAGCGCCAGCUGUCCCAGCACCUCAGUGAGUGACCUUGAGCAAGUCACAUGCGCUGCCUGAGUCUCCUUUACCCUCAUACAAAUGAGAGGAUUGAACGCUGCGUUCCGAAAGUUCCAUUCUGGCUCCCAGCUCCGAGACUGAUUCAGAUCACCUAGGACUAAGCACCUCCACCCUCGGUGUCAGGCAGGUUUGAACGGGUUGGAGACGGUUGCUCAUGCCAAGGCAGCGCCUGGGCAUGUGACAAGGUGCCCAGUGGGGAGCGGCGGUGAGGCUGAGCGCAGGGCGCUGCUGCUCCGAGGUCUGGCUAGAAAGCCAUCUGCAUCAGGAACUUGCCACAGGUGUUGGCUGCCGUCCACAGGGGGCCUCGUCUUUGAGCCCCACUCACAGGCGCUUUUAGGGGCAACAGGGUCUAAUAGAAAAGGCUACUCCUCCUGCCUUGUUAUUAUUUUUAGUAGUUGUGGUUGUUACAUCUCUAAACUCUAUAGGAUCCGAAAGGCAAGAAUUGCCCCAUUUUACAGAUGAAGAAUUGACAUUGAAUGAUUUGCCCUAAGUUAGACUUGGGCUCAGUAACAGAGUUACCUUGCCUGGGUGCCAGGACCUCCAUGCUCUUCUGUUUUAGUGUGUACCCAGGAGAUUUGGUGCAUGCCUGUUUCCCCCCUCUCCUGUGCUCGCCAUGCAGGUAAGCAUCAUGUCACGUUCACCUGGCACGGAGCAGGCCCUUACUUGUUUACUGAACUGGAUUCUGAUGCUAAUUUUGUGCUUGUUCCUCUCCAGGGAAGCGUGCACCUACGAAUGCCCCUGGCUUCCCUUUUACCCCGUAUAAUUUUUUUUUUCCCAUUAAAAAGAAAAGAAGAAACUUAGGUCCUUUGCUCAGGUUCAAAAUUUACCCUCCUAGCUUCCUCGUUUACCUGCCUGAGGGUUCGUUCUGUUUGGGGGCCACUCACUGAGAACAAAAUCUGGUUGCUGCCCUGGAGCCUGGGAGAUGGUCUGCCAAGUAUGGGGCUUCACCACAGUUCAUAGGACCCUCCACCAGCACGUGGCAGCCAGUGUCCCCUUCUUGCACAUCUGGGGACACUGUCCGAGCGGCCUCCCAUCGUUGUGACUUGUGAGUGAGACAGGUGUGAGGUGCCGUGUGGGUGGACACCAGGGCAGCCAGUAUCAGGGCUGGGGGUGUUGUCAGUAGACCUCUCUCUGCCCCCCACCCCUCGCCUCCGCCUGGGCAGUUUGUGACUUGUUGCAGAGGCAAUGCUGGCUUUUUACAGGCAGCUCCAGCCCGGGCUGUGGUUUUUCAACUUGGCCACGAUUUUCACACUCAUGCCAAGUGCUCUGGUGCCAGAAAACCGCCCUUGGGAUGGACUCUUCCAAAAGAAGCAUUUAUGUCCAGCUAUCAGAAAAAUGCCACUUUUCUCAUCUGAGUUUUGACUUUGCCUUUUCAGUUAGUUGGAUUCCUCGCAUGAUCCUGAUAAAGGAGAUCGUGUGUAUCUCCCAGUUUGUUUUUCCAAAUAAAGUCCCGGCGUUAUUUCUUUUCCAGCACAUGUUUUUCUGCUUUAGGCAAAACAGAAGUGGACCUCAUUUUUGUUUUGAAAUGUGACAAGAGAUUAACAUAGCACAGCUCAGAAUGCCUCUCGUGAUCUCUGAGUGGGAAUUAUGAAGCCCGGGGUCCAAGAUUUGAUGCCCAAGGACCAGAAUUUUUUUCCAUGGAGAAUUUCAAAUACAUACAACGGGGGAGAGGGGAGCACAGUGAAACUCCGUGUCCCCCAGCUUCGACAACUAACAAUUUGCAGAAACAAAUCGCACCCACUCCCCCCAUCACUGGAUAAUUUUGAAACAAAUCCAAAUGUAUGUUUUCUGCACAUAUUUCAGUAUGUGUCUCUAAAACACAAUGACUCAAAACCACAAGACCGUUACCACACUUCCAGAGUGAACGACUCCUUAAUGUUAUCAAAUCUAGUCAGAACUCAGUUUUCCAGUUAUCUCCUAACUGUUGAAUGGUUUAUUUGUAAGCUUCGGGGUUGAAGUACGGUCCACAAACUGCAGUUAAUCGACCUGUGAUGGCCUGGAUCUCAAUUCGAUGGUGUGAUGCCUCAUCAGAGAACAACCGGCCCCACUCUUCCAAGGCUCCAGAUCUCAGAGCCAAGCUGGCUGUGUCCAUCCUGUGCCCUCACUUGGUCAUGGAAUCAGACAGAAACUGUUACCACCACCGUCUCCACCACCCUGGGGUAAGCCCUCAUCAUGUCCACCGUCAAGGCUUCCUGCAGAGUUCCGUGCCUCAGCCUCUCCUGUUAGCUGCCAGGCUCCUUUCUCUCCUAACCGAGUUUAACCAGACUAACCAGACGUUGCCCUGCCUCUGUGGCGCCGCCCCUCCACCCCACCCCCCUUCUCCAGAGCACGCCCACUCCACCCAACGGAUCAGAGCGGAGCCAUAGCCAUCUUUCAAGGCCUGUCGAGGCCUUCGGUGGCCCUCAUACCCUCCCCCGCCAGCCCCUAUGGUCAGGCCGGCUUCCCCAUCCUCAGAACAAGCUAUGAACUAACUCAACCUUCCCAUAUGUUCUUAUGCUAAAAAAUGUGCUUAAAAUGCCACCUUCUUUCCUCUUUGCCUUUCUGAAUCCUGUUCACUCUUCCAAGUCCAGCUCAAGUCCUGCCAAAACUACUUCCAGGGCUUUCUCCCUGCCCCAGGACUCCUUGGCCAGCCUGCUGGGGGUUCACACAGUGGUACAGUGAUAUGAAUACUCACUAAAGUCUCAUGUGUGACUGCUGUCUCCAGACUAGCACAUGAACCUGCUCCAGACUAGAACUCUGUCUACAAAUUUCACAGUCCUUUUGAAGACUAGAGCUUUUUGUCACGUCCCUCCCCCAUGUCUGAUAUAGCAACACUUACUAAACACUUAAUAAAUUGAUUUGGGGGAUUUCUUAAGCUCAUUUCAGAAAUCUAGCC